UGAUGUUAUUAACAUUAAUGACAAGAAAAAAAAACAUCAAAAGUUUGCUAAUGUUGAAAAAUUUUACCUAAUAAUAUGGCAGAUAUUUAUUCAAUCAGAUAUUGUGUUGGCAUUAGCUGAUACGGAGUUAUCGGAUAACGGACCUGUGGCCUACGCUGUAAGCGUGUCCUAUCUCCGGCGAAUGCUGGUGAUAUCGUAGGAUUUCUGUACAACUCAAGAGCAAUAACAAGACCAAAUUAUAAACAAAAAAACCGUUA